CGCGGCAAGACGGAAAGACCCCGUGAACCUUUACUAUAGCUUGACACUGAACAUUGAGCCUUGAUGUGUAGGAUAGGUGGGAGGCUUUGAAGCGUGGACGCCAGUCUGCGUGGAGCCGACCUUGAAAUACCACCCUUUAAUGUUUGAUGUUCUAACGUGGAUCCGUAAUCCGGGUUGCGGACAGUGUCUGGUGGGUAGUUUGACUGGGGCGGUCUCCUCCUAAAGAGUAACGGAGGAGCACGAAGGUUGGCUAAUCCUGGUCGGACAUCAGGAGGUUAGUGCAAUGGCAUAAGCCAGCUUGACUGCGAGCGUGACGGCGCGAGCAGGUGCGAAAGCAGGUCAUAGUGAUCCGGUGGUUCUGAAUGGAAGGGCCAUCGCUCAACGGAUAAAAGGUACUCCGGGGAUAACAGGCUGAUACCGCCCAAGAGUUCAUAUCGACGGCGGUGUUUGGCACCUCGAUGUCGGCUCAUCACAUCCUGGGGCUGAAGUAGGUCCCAAGGGUAUGGCUGUUCGCCAUUUAAAGUGGUACGCGAGCUGGGUUUAGAACGUCGUGAGACAGUUCGGUCCCUAUCUGCCGUGGGCGCUGGAGAACUGAGGGGGGCUGCUCCUAGUACGAGAGGACCGGAGUGGACGCAUCACUGGUGUUCGGGUUGUCAUGCCAAUGGCACUGCCCGGUAGCUAAAUGCGGAAGAGAUAAGUGCUGAAAGCAUCUAAGCACGAAACUUGCCCCGAGAUGAGUUCUCCCUGAGACUUAAAGUCUCCUGAAGGAACGUUGAAGACGACGACGUUGAUAGGCCGGGUGUGUAAGCGCAGCGAUGCGUUGAGCUAACCGGUACUAAUGAA
rnacentral:rRNA from 1 species